UACGGAGGAUGCGAGCGUUAUCCGGAUUUAUUGGGUUUAAAGGGUGCGUAGGCGGCUUUUUAAGUCAGCGGUGAAAUUUUGCAGCUUAACUGUAACAGUGCCGUUGAUACUGGGGAGCUAGGAUUUGGUUGCUGUGGGUGGAAUGUGUGGUAUAGCGGUGAAAUGCUUAGAGAUCACACAGAAUAUCGAUUGCGAAGGCAGCUCACAAAGCCAAGAUUGACGCUGAGGCACGAAAGUGUGGGGAUCAAACAGGAUUA
rnacentral:rRNA from 1 species